AACGAACGCUGGCGGCAUGCCUAACACAUGCAAGUCGAACGAGACCUUCGGGUCUAGUGGCGCACGGGUGCGUAACGCGUGGGAACCUGCCCUUAGGUUCGGAAUAACUCCCCGAAAGGGGUGCUAAUACCGGAUAAUGUCUUCGGACCAAAGAUUUAUCGCCUUUGGAUGGGCCCGCGUUGGAUUAGCUAGUUGGUAGGGUAAAAGCCUACCAAGGCGACGAUCCAUAGCUGGUCUGAGAGGAUGAUCAGCCACACUGGGACUGAGACACGGCCCAGACCCCUACGGGAGGAAGCAGUGGGGAAUAUUGGACAAUGGGCGAAAGCCUGAUCCAGCAAUGCCGCGUGAGUGAUGAAGGCCUUAGGGUUGUAAAGCUCUUUUACCCGGGAUGAUAAUGACAGUACCGGGAGAAUAAGCUCCGGCUAACUCCGUG
rnacentral:rRNA from 1 species